rnacentral:rRNA from 1 species
AUGGCGGACAUCGCGAUGCUGGUGGCGGAGGAGCACGAGAAGAGGAUGAAGCGAGGGGCGCCACGCGCCGUCGCCGGCGCCGACGAGGAGGCGUCCGGGGGGAGGGUGAACUUCGGGGCCGUCACCAAGGUGUGGGGCUCCUGGGCCGAGUCCGCCGCCGCCGCCGCGUCCGGGGUCAAGGUGCACGUCGCGGUGCUCGUCAGGUCCGACCUGGUGGCGGCCGAGCCCAGGAGCCCGGUCGCCCGGGCAGCCUUCGACGGCUUCUUCUCUGCUUGA